GGAGAAGGACAGACGAUCGCCGGUUCCGUAAGGGACGGGAGGAAAGUCCGGGCUCCACAGGGCAGGAUGGUCCUUAACGGGGACCGGGGGCGACCCCAGGGAAAGUGCCACAGAGAGAAGACCGCCCGCUCGAUUUCGAUCUGCGGGUAAGGGUGAAAGGGUGAGGUAAGAGCUCACCAGUUUCGGCGGUGACGUCGAAAGCUCGGUAAACCCCAUCCGGAGCAAGACCAAAUAGGGGAGCGUUUGAGGACGGCCCGUCCGAAGCUCCCGGGUACGGUUGCUUGAGGCUGUCGGCAACGACAGUCCUAGAGGAAUGAUCGUCACUGCGUUGCGGGUAACGGCAUCACAGAACAGAACCCGGCUUACGGCCUUCUCCGGCC
rnacentral:RNase_P_RNA from 1 species